rnacentral:lncRNA from 1 species
UCCGUUCCUUUAUCCUUUUAACUUUUUCAGCUGAUGCCUUUUAACUCCAGACUGUGUGAAUGGCAGCUCCUGGAAUUCUGCAGUGCACAACCUGUGUGGCCUAACAUGGCAGCCCUGAAUAGGAAGCACUUCUCUCUUCCCUUGUUGCUUCCAGGGAAUCUACGCUAAAGUGUCCUUAGGGUUUGUGGAUGCAAUCCAGGCCUUUGAAGAUGGGAAGAAGAUCUUAAUUAUAAAGAAAUGGGAAGAUUGAAUGCUUUUAUGGAGAGUCCAACUUGAAGAGGGCCUUGUGGAGAAGGACUUUGUGUUUUUGAGACAGGAUGCAUAUCAUUUGGGCAAAGUCUUCAGUGUAAAAGAUGUUAUCAAGGAGCAGAUUGCUGGCUUAUCAAGAAGAGGAAUGAAUGCUAGGGAAGUGGGAUAUAGAAGAUCAAAGAAGAAUUCUUUCUGAGAUGCCAACAGCACUAUCCCUACCAGUUCUAUAGGCUGUAUUCACUGAGAUGGCCAAACCAAAGAAGGAGAAAUCGUUGCUUCCUAGUGGCACUUAGGAGCAUCCAGCAGCACAUGACAUCUGCCUCUUCGCUUGAGAAGCCUCUAAGGUUGGAAAAUCUAUUCUGCUGUAGACUUUGGACACCUCCAUAUAUACCUACCUGUGUGAUAUUCCUUUAUGAAGAAAACAUAUUUCUAUUUAAUUCUUAGCUCAAUAUGAAAAUUUAUAAAAUAGAGUCAUAUAUUCAGGUCCCACAUUAAGCUAAUCUGAUAUUUGGACAUUUGGAUUUAAGAUAAAAUAGUGUUUUCAUUAUAAAAAUGUUCACCAACAGUUUACUUUAAAUAGUUACUCUUUCUGGUGUACAUUAAAAUAUAAUUAAAUUCUCAGUUGACUUUACUAGCAACAUCUUUAUUUUGUAAAGUAAACUCCAACUGCAAAGAAAGUUAUUUUCAUGCUUAGUAAAGACACAUUGUUCUAAAUAAUGAUUACAAUGGAGAAAUUAGAAGACCCACAUAGCUUUUACCCAGCAGGGAGUGUAUUUUGAGACUCAAUAAAUUUAAGAUAAUCUGAUUUUUAAAAAAGCA